UCCGUGCUGUCAGCACAGAGCCCAUCACAGUGCUUGGUCCCACAAACCAAACUGUGAGAUCAUGACCUGAGCUAAAAUCAAGAGUUUGAGACAUGUAAGUGCCCCAAUUUAGUUGUGGUCUUAUCAGAAAUCUCUAUCCUACCUUCUACUUUUCCAUUGGUUUCAGAAUCCCUGCCAGGGAUGAAAGGGGCUUCAUUUACCUCAAAUUAUUAUUAUCUUGCAUAAGAACCAGAAAAUCACCUGCAGAUACUAGGUAAGACCUCUACAAAGUUAAUUUUUUCAUGACUCAAAUUGUCCAGGGACAAUUAUCCUAUUCCUUCUUCUUCAUUCAGUAUCUUUAUUGAGUAUCUACUAUGUGCUAGUCACUGGAAUCCAUAGUAAACGGACAAGCUUCCUAUUAAAGCAAAGCUCGUAGUCCAGUAAUAAACAAGAAAACAAACCAAAAUAUCAGAUAAAAGGGAGCAGGUAAUUAAAAUGGAGAGAUAUGUUGUGAGUGUUUGGGUUAGGUGGAAGGAGGUGACUUUUGUGAUGAGAAAUAAAUGACAGGAAGGAACCAGCCACGGGAAGACAAGAAGCAGAGCAUUCUGGGCAGAGGAAAUGCUUCCCAGUGUAAAGUUAAGUACUGGGAAACAUAACCGUUGAUUUUUCCUCACCUCUGAACCCAGCAACCCUCUGUCCUUAAAAUGCGCACCACAAGCUCUAGUGUCUGAGUUGCCCCCGAACCAUCUCUCCCUCCCUCGGAUGAUAAACACCAAAUUUUGGAUCAAUGGUACCAAAUUUACAAAUGUCCCAGCUCUUCCCGGUUUACUUUCCUCCCUAGCCAUCACUGUACUUCAAACCAGGCAUGGACAGUUCUAUUUCGUUUUUAUGCAGUAACAACCUAUAUAGAUCCUUCUGAUAAGUGGCUCUACGCUAACGAUGUUUGGUAAGAUCUCUCUCAACAGCUUAGAGUCUUCAUUCAAAGCCCCAAAAAACAGUGACGCAAAUUGCCCUAGACCAGGAUCUGAGGUCUUCCAGGACCCUUUUUCACAGGAAUUUGAAAACAGGCACAUUCCAUUUUGCCCUUUGUUAGAGAGCUAUUGACAAUAAACAGAAUUCGGCUCAGAAUUUGUGCUGUAAAACAGCAGAACGCUGAACAAACCACUCUUUCUCACCCAGGGCAACACUCCCCUGGAUUCUGCUGAUACUUACACAGGGCUUAAGUAAGAACAUUUGGGAAGUUUAUGGGAAACUAAAAGUCUCAACGCAUUAGUUUCUUAAAUUCUUUGUUAUUUUGACUGCACCGAAGGCUAUUCCACAAGCCAUUAUCAGAAUCCACCCAUCUUCAGUUCCCGUAAAUAUUAUGUCUACCCAGAACUAUGUGAACUAUUUCAUAGCUGGAAUAUGAGCCAGGCUGUGGAACUCGCUAGUAGGAAUAAGAGGAGCGUUGAAACCUGAAGGUGAGAAAAUUCAGGAGGCAAAGGGCACAGUGAGCUAAAGGAUGAUGCAUGUUUUGGGGAAAGAAGACAGCUCAGCCCUCAGAGACUGAUUAGUAUUCAGCCCAUACUUGAUUAUUUAAACCCAGCAGCGAAUGUUUGCUAACACAUUCCUGGGGGCACGAGGGUGGCUUUCAUUACAACAAGUAAAAGAAGCUGCGUUCCGGCCUCAGCAGUCGUCCUUGUUGUAGCUGAUACUAACUAUUCCAGGCAAUGGAGAGCAAGGAAAACUGAGGCAGCAACUGUCAAACGUUGGUGAUCUCCUGGAAAGGAGCAAAGUAGGCAGCUGCUGCCAUGCAUCCUGGAGCUGGGGACUAAAUUCACUCCGGUGGCAAACCUCUGAUGCAGGACGUUGGUGAAAAGGCAUUGUACCACGGAAAGCACGAAUUAAAUCCGCAGAACACGUAGAGUGUUGCCACUUCUAACUAACUGAGCUAACCUGCCAAGAAGAGUGUUUCCACUUCUGCUAGAGGAAACUGCAAGCAG